AUGUGAAUUGCAGAAUUCAGUGAAUCAUCGAAUCUUUGAACGCACCUUGCGCUCCUUGGUAUUCCGAGGAGCAUGCCUGUUUGAGUGUCAUUUAAUUCUCAACCCCACCAGCCGUUUUUGGCUGGCUUGGUGGCUUGGAUGUGGGGGAUGUUUUGCGGGCCUCUUCAGAGGUCAGCUCCCCUGAAAUGCAUUAGUGGAACCGUUUGCGGGACCGUUCACUGGUGUGAUAAUUAUCACCACCGAAGACAACCGCUCUCAUGUAGUUCUGCUUCUAAUCGUCCUUUUGCAUGGACAAUGAUAUUUGAAUGCUUGACCUCAAAUCAGGUAGGACUACCCGCUGAACUUAAGCAUAUCAAUAAGCGGAGGAAAAGAAACUAACAAGGAUUCCCCUAGUAACUGCGAGUGAAGCGGGAAAAGCUCAAAUUUAAAAUCUGGCGGUCUUUGGCCGUCCGAGUUGUAAUCUAGAGAAGCGUCACCCGCGUUGGACCGUGUACAAGUCUCCUGGGAUGGAGCGUCAUAGAGGGUGAGAAUCCCGUCUCUGACACGGACUACCAGGGCUUUGUGGUGCGCUCUCAAAGAGUCGAGUUGUUUGGGAAUGCAGCUCUAAAUGGGUGGUAAAUUCCAUCUAAAGCUAAAUAUUGGCGAGAGACCGAUAGCGAACAAGUACCGUGAGGGAAAGAUGAAAAGAACUUUGGAAAGAGAGUUAAACAGUACGUGAAAUUGCUGAAAGGGAAACGCUUGAAGUCAGUCGCGUUGGCCGGGGAUCAGCCUCGCUCUUGCGUGGUGUAUUUCCUGGUUGACGGGUCAGCAUCAAUUUUGACCGCUGGAAAAAGAUCUGGGGAAUGUGGCAUCUUCGGAUGUGUUAUAGCCCUUUUUCAUAUACGGCGGUUAGGAUUGAGGAACUCAGCACGCCGCAAGGCCGGGUUUCGACCACGUUCGUGCUUAGGAUGCUGGCAUAAUGGCUUUAAUCGACCCGUCUUGAAACACGGACCAAGGAGUCUAACAUGCCUGCGAGUGUUUGGGUGGAAAACCCGAGCGCGUAAUGAAAGUGAAAGUUGAGAUCCCUGUCGCGGGGAGCAUCGACGCCCGGACCAGAACUUUUGGGACGGAUCUGCGGUAGAGCAUGUAUGUUGGGACCCGAAAGAUGGUGAACUAUGCCUGAAUAGGGUGAAGCCAGAGGAAACUCUGGUGGAGGCUCGUAGCGAUUCUGACGUGCAAAUCGAUCGUCAAAUUUGGGUAUAGGGGCGAAAGACUAAUCGAACCAUC
rnacentral:rRNA from 1 species